rnacentral:rRNA from 1 species
UACAGAGGUCCCAAGCGUUACUGAGAAUCACUGGGUUUAAAGGGUGCGUAGGUGGUCCGUUAAGUCAGUUGUGAAAUCCCCGGGCUCAACCCGGGAACUGCUUCUGAUACUGGCGGACUUGAGGCCAGUAGGGGUCACUAGAACUGACGGUGGAGCGGUGAAAUGCGUAGAUAUCGUCAGGAAGACCAGGGGCGAAGGCGAGUCUCUGGACAGUAUCUGACGCUGAGGCACGAAGGCCAGGGGAGCAAACGGG